GCGAUCAUACCAGCACUAAUGCACCGGAUCCCAUCAGAACUCCGAAGUUAAGCGUGCUUGGACGAGAGUAGUACUAGGAUGGGUGACCCCCUGGGAAGUCCUCGUGUUGCACCA
rnacentral:rRNA from 1 species